ensembl:lncRNA
GAGGAGACAACUCCUAAUAUUCACUGAGUCUAUCAGCAAGAACAUAAACUACCAAAAGCUCCAGAAUCUGGUUUUGGACUCUCAGCUUGGCAUUAACUCCCAGCUCAAGCUCAGGACUGGGGACCAAAUAUAUCAACUCAGUGUCAGCAUUAGUUGGAGACUUGAUUUUACUAAUGACCCAAAGGGGACACAGACCUCUAUAAACAUUAACCCUUCAAAGUCCUGCAGCGUGCCAGUCGCAGAGAAGGUGUUUUUGGAGCACAGCAGAACUACCCAUGAUAUAAGCCAAACGCUGAGCGAAAAUAUUUUAUUUGCACACCAGCCAAUAUAUGAGAUGCAACUACAGGGAUUUAAACACGAUACUCAGGCUCAUUAGCAAAGCAAGCAUAGAUAACAAGGAUUUACUGAACAUUACCG